CAUUAUGGUCUUUUCUAGAGAAUCUUACUUUUUCAUGAUAUGCCCAAAGAAGGGACAAUCUCAGAAUCAACAUUUUUGUCUCCAGAGAAAGUUCAGGCUUGAUUUGAGCUAAGACUCACUCGUUUGUCUUUCUGGCGAUGACUUCACGACUAAACAACAACAAAAUCAGUGUGGAAGAGUUUCAUCAAAAUCCAGGCAUACUGAGAUAUUGUUGUUGAGUCUUGACAAGAGAAUUAUGUAUACCUAAUGUUAGGGAUUGUAUUUCUUUACUUAUUACAUUUCAGUAUCUUCUUGCCAUGAAAAGUAGGACUCACGGUGGCUGAAUAUACAAAUACAAGUAAAAUAACAUUAUAAUCUAAAACUCAAACCAAAUGAUUGCAAUAAAAACAGUCCUGCCAGUGAGAAAGAUUUAACAACAGCAACAAAAAUGAGGGGGGGAAAAACUCUGGGAAGCUGAAUCUUGUUUGAAAAGCAAUUUGGAGAGUGGAAAAUUUUAAUUGUAAAAGGUUACUGAAUGCAGCCUGAGGGACAGGAAGGGGAGUGGCCUGCUCGUUAAGGCAGCAGCUCGUUAGGGGUUAUAACUUUGCAGUGAACAAAAGAAGACUGAAGAACAUCUCCAGCAUCUUGAAGUCCACUAUUUGUGCCAAAAAGAGAGAACAGAUUAACAAGCCUUAUAUUUGCUAAGCAGUGAAAAAUCUGUCGUAAACUCACCUCGGGCUGACACCCUCUCCUUAUAUCUCUGAAGAUCAAGGGUGGAGAAUUUUCCAAGAGGGAAGGAUUGUAUUUUCCACCAUAUCUUGAGCCUCUCUCAUCUUUGGAUACGGGAUUGUAGCUGUUCACUGAGCCCGCUCUUGGCUCUACGCAACUGAGUACAUUUUCUGACCAGUCAAUUAGCUGUUAAAAAGCACACCUUUAUUGUCAGGGGAAGAAACCAUUUUCCAAUCAAACAAAGAACAUGGGUGAAUGGACGAGAAGCUGUCAGACAAACAGGUUUCUGCUGGAGAGAGCUGCUUUCUUUUGCUUGCUGUUUGCUUCAGCCGAUGGCCUGCAAUGCUACCAGUGUGUGGGGAUGUUCCAUGAAUGUGUCCAGUCGGAGCAGCUGUGUGCACCCAAAGACCGUUCCUGCUUCUCAUCCACCAUCAAACUUUUCUAUCUCGAAAUUGCUCAGUACGUGAUGAAGGGCUGUUCAGCAGAGAGAGCAUCCAACCGGACAUCUAAUGUAUACUCAGAAGAUGACCGGGAGGUUCAUCACACAUAUUAUUGUGAUUCAGACCUCUGCAAUACCCAAUUCACAGGUGGUAAGUGAGGAGGGAAGGACUGUAAUCUCUCGUGUAAAAAUAUAAAUGGGUGUCAGAAGGCAGAGUUGGGGGAGAUCCUCGGGGAUCUUUUUGGCACUAAGUCAGACAUGUUUGACUAGCUUACAGUGAAUCCACGCAUGUUUUCGGACUGAACGGUUUAAAACUACGGAUAGCUGCUGUGAAAAG
rnacentral:lncRNA from 1 species